UCUUCCCCAAGCGUUGUUCGCUGGGCCCCAUUGGUUGUUGCUGGGCAACAGUAUAGCCAUCUCGCUUCUCGAUUAAUUUAAUAUCGCACUCUUCUUGCUUCCCUCACAGCCGGUAUUGAAAUCGGUCUCCGAGUAGAGGGGAAGUUGAUGCAAUCAUUCCCCCCAACGAUGGGGGAGAAACUAAUAUGUUUUAUGCUGGCGCUCGGCUACCCGAUGCCACACGCCACACAGUGGAAGCCGAACUGCUGGAAGCUUGGAAAAGCUUCGGCGGUGGCAGCGUUAAACAGAGAGCGAGAGAUUGAGCGAGCACCAAAUCCAGCACCGAAACCGGUCGCAGGCGUCUACGAUGCUGGAAAAUGCAACACCGAACAAUGUUGCCGCUCUCAGCGGGCGGCUCGUCGUGCGUUAGUUGAUUGUGAACGUUGCUGCUGGUUGGAACGUCCGGCCGCAUGCCGUUUGGGGUUUGAGCGUUUUGUCGAUGUUGACAUCGUAGUAAGGCCGCUCGUCCGUGCGUACGCGGACGGGUGGCUUGUGUUUACACAUGGCGUGUGAAUGUAUGUGUGUUGUUUGUUGUGCUUCUUCCAUGCAGUCCCCUUGCCCUGUGACUUUGGCAUACUUUUGCCUUGGAUGGAGGAAGUUUUAAGCAAGAGUAUCCAUUUGCAAUUGAGUUAUUGAUUAAGUGCUUUUGUUAAGGUAUUAUGUUCUUGUAUGUUUUGAGGUUCCCAGUUUGUGAUCGAAAUUCCUUAUGGACUACACUAAGUGUGAAGUUUGGUGACAUCGUUUGACACGAAACGAUCGGCAUUCAUCUAUUCAAUAAUUAGAUUAUUUACACUUGCAUCGUUAUAUGUGUCAUAUGUUUAAUGUACCAAUAUUAAACCAUUCUACACAACACUUCAAAUACCUGGAUAGCUCAGCCAUAAUUAAAUAUUUAAAAAAAAUAGUCUACAAACGUCAUCUCUAGCCAUCAAACUAUGUUAAACUACGACAGCAGGGACUAGACGACAGUGAACAAUCAACAGAGGGAAUCAAUCGUGGAAUUUUCCAAAAACUGAACAUUUGAAGUUAAAAAAAAAUAACAUAAAAUAAACUAAAUUCUAAACUUUGCGCUUUUCCACUUUUUUAAUAAAGGGUUUUGUUAAGAGGA